rnacentral:tRNA from 1 species
CGCGGGGUGGAGCAGCCAGGUAGCUCGUCGGGCUCAUAACCCGAAGGUCGCAGG